AUUGAACGCUGGCGGAAUGCUUUACACAUGCAAGUCGAACGGUUGAGGGGGCAACCCCUUGAGAGUGGCGAACGGGUGAGUAAUAUAUCGGAACGUGCCCAGUCGUGGGGAUAACGUAGCGAAAGUUACGCUAAUACCGCAUACGAUCUAAGGAUGAAAGCGGGGGAUCGCAAGACCUCGCGCGAUUGGAGCGGCCGAUAUCAGAUUAGGUAGUUGGUGGGGUAAAGGCUCACCAAGCCAACGAUCUGUAGCUGGUCUGAGAGGACGACCAGCCACACUGGAACUGAGACACGGUCCAGACUCCUACGGGAGGCAGCAGUGGGGAAUUUUGGACAAUGGACGCAAGUCUGAUCCAGCCAUUCCGCGUGCAGGAUGAAGGCCCUCGGGUUGUAAACUGCUUUGUACGGAACGAAAAGGUUUCUCUUAAUACGAGGAGCUCAUGACGGUACCGUAAGAAUAAGCACCGGCUAACUACGUGCA
rnacentral:rRNA from 1 species